GGGCGUCUAAAACCCCCAACGGUCGACGGUAGGGUUUAGAGCCCCAAAAUCUGUGAAGCUUUCAUUCUCUUUCCUGUUAGAUAACAAUGAGGGUGAAAAAGCAGAAGCGGCAUCGGAGAGCCGUGCGGUUCUACACGGCUUGCUUUGGAUUCCGGGACCCGUUCAAAAUCCUCUGCGAUGGGACUUUUGUGCAUCAUCUCCUAGCGAAUCGUAUUACUCCCGCUGAUACUGCAUUAGCGAAUACUCUUGGCGCUCCCGUCAAAAUCUUCACUACAAGAUGUGUUCUUGCGGAGCUGAGAAGCCUUGGUGAUUCUUAUUCUGACUCACUUAAUGCUGCUCGUAACCUGAUUGCUGCGAGAUGUGACCAUGAGAAACGAAAGAGUGCUGUAGCAUGUAUAAUGGACGUUAUUGGAGAAAACAACCCCGAGCACUUCUUUGUUGCUACUCAGGAUGCAGAGCUGAGGAAGAAGUUCCAGGAGAUUCCAGGUGUGCCUGUGAUAUAUGGUCUCAGAAAUGCUCUGUUUCUGGAGCGCCCAUCGACAUUUCAACAUGAAUUUGCAAAGACUGCUGAAGAAGAAAGGUCGCAUAUGACCGACUUGGAGUACAAGAUGCUAAAAGUAAAGAAGAAAAGGGUAUCUACUGAGGAAACAAGGGAUUCUUCUGAUGCAAAUGAAGAAAAUGAAGAAAAUAUUUUUGAGACACAGGAUAUCAAGUCAAAAGUUAAGAGAAAUAAAAUAGACACAAAGGACAAAGUUCAAUUCAAGCGAAAGAAAGCUAAGGGUCCAAACCCUCUCUCGUGCAAGAAGAAAAAGAGUGACACGAGCACACAUGCUACUUCAGGGAAGGGAGGAAAUGUUGAUAACAACACACGGAGCAGGAGUAGGAAACGUAAGAGGUCGAGGAAAAGCAAAAGUACCACUGAGUUGAAUGUUUAAAACAGAGUUUGUCCUAGAGCUUGUAGGUUGAUUGAGUCCAAGUUUUGUGGAAAUACAGUUCAGAACCAAAUUGAUUCUAUGUGGCAUUGGUAAUUUAUUCCCCAAAAGUACAUCGCUACAUUUGAUUCCUUUCAUGGACUUUGUUGCUUAUUAUAAGAUGAAAACAGAUAUUAAUGUUAUACAAAUACAUUGAAGUGCAAAGCAUACGACUAAACGAUAGGACUUGGGUACGUAGUACUGGGAUCAGCUUUUAUUCCUGCAUCGAAGCAGCGGAA